GGAAGUAAAAUUCGUAACAAGGUUUCCGUAGGUGAACCUGCGGAAGGAUCAUUAAAAGAUAUAGCAUACCCUUUAUGGAUAUACUUUAUAAACCCAUUCUGAGUACCUUACCCGUUGCUUCCGUGAGGCGGUGACUUCGGUCCCUCCAACGAUGACGUCAGUCAUUCGAGGAGAGUACUCACGGGAGGUAUACAUUAAACUCUUGCAUUACCAUGUCAUCUGUCUGAUUAUGUUUAUAACAAAUUAUUAAAACUUUCAACAACGGAUCUCUUGGUUCUC
rnacentral:misc_RNA from 1 species